CUAGAUCUAUUUAUUACAGAAAUUAUUAUUUCCUAGGAUGAAUAAACUAUAUAACAAUAUCUAUUAUACUAUAGGAAGCCUUAGAUGGCCCAAAAUAAACCUGAAAGUCAUGCCUUCAACACAACAACCUUGAAACAGUAGCAAGGAUCCAUAAUACCUUAAGCCAGGUUUUUGGUCUGUCAAAGUUCCCAAAGAUCCUCAAGGACACAGGGCAAUGCUUACACCGGUUUCAUACAUUCAACACUGAAUUCAUAAGAGAUUGGAAAACCAGCUUCAAUGUAUCAGAGUUCAAAAGAGUCUUAGGGACCCUAGGCAGUGCUCACAUUAGAGGUGGUAGGAACCUAGAUAGCUAAGAGUGGAAGUUUGAAAUCAAGUAUAUAGGGGGUAAGGGGAACAAGUUUAGAAAGCUGUUUGACUUUUAGGAGCAAACAAAUUCAAAUUAUAGACCUGCAAACAGAACAGAGUCCAUUUAGCAGAUUGGUAUUAGUUCAGGCAUGGACGAUAUACUAGUCAUUAAAGCAAUCACAACAACAGCAGAGAUACUUGAAUCACAGACAAAACCGACCACACAUAUUGGGAAUACCUAAACAAGUUUUGAAUAGGGAGCAUACAACUGAAUCCAUCAAGGUUUCACAUAAAUAUAGGUUACUUUGUUCAUUAAUUAUCACUAGCUGGUACCAUAACAUGCAUUAAAGAGAAACAUGCUGAUGUUUGAAAUACCUAACCAAACAAACAUAUAACGUAGUGUAGCAGGAACUAAAGCAUAUCAG
rnacentral:lncRNA from 1 species